rnacentral:rRNA from 1 species
UGGGGAAUAUUGCACAAUGGGCGCAAGCCUGAUGCAGCGACGCCGCGUGGGGGAUGACGGCCUUCGGGUUGUAAACUCCUUUCGCCAGGGACGAAGCGUUUUGUGACGGUACCUGGAGAAGAAGCACCGGCUAACUACGUGCCAGCAGCCGCGGUAAUACGUAGGGUGCAAGCGUUGUCCGGAAUUACUGGGCGUAAAGAGCUCGUAGGUGGUUUGUCACGUCGUCUGUGAAAUUCCACAGCUUAACUGUGGGCGUGCAGGCGAUACGGGCUGACUUGAGUACUGUAGGGGUAACUGGAAUUCCUGGUGUAGCGGUGAAAUGCGCAGAUAUCAGGAGGAACACCGAUGGCGAAGGCAGGUUACUGGGCAGUUACUGACGCUGAGGAGCGAAAGCAUGGGUAGCAAACAGGAUUAGAUACCCUGGUAGUCCAUGCCGUAAACGGUGGGCGCUAGGUGUAGGGGCCUUUUGGGGUUUCUGUGCCGUAGCUAACGCAUUAAGCGCCCCGCCUAGGGAGUACGGCCGCAAGGCUA